rnacentral:rRNA from 1 species
CACGUAGGGGGCAGGCGUUGUCCGGAUUUAUUGGGCGUAAAGAGCUCGUAGGUGGCUCGGUAAGUCGGGUGUUAAACCCCCAGGCUCAACCUGGGGACGCCACUCGAUACUGCUGUGGCUAGAGUCCGGUAGGGGAGCGUGGAAUUCCUGGUGUAGCGGUGAAAUGCGCAGAUAUCAGGAGGAACACCGGUGGCGAAGGCGGUUCUCUGGGCCUUACCUGACGCUGAGGCGCGAAAGCGUGGGGAGCAAACAGG